UACAGAGGUCCCAAGCGUUGUUCGGAUUCACUGGGCGUAAAGGGUGCGCAGGCGGCCAAGUGUGUGAGGCGUGAAAGCCCGGGGCUUAACCCCGGAAUUGCACCUCAAACUACAUGGCUAGAGCAUUGGAGAGGGUAGCAGAAUUCACGGUGUAGCAGUGAAAUGCGUAGAUAUCGUGAGGAAUACCAGAGGCGAAGGCGGCUACCUGGACAAUUGCUGACGCUCAGGCACGAAAGCGUGGGGAGCAAAAGGG
rnacentral:rRNA from 1 species